AUUGAACGCUGGCGGCAGGCCUAACACAUGCAAGUCGAACGAGUGGCGGACGGGCGAGCAAGGUCUGGGAAACUGCCUGAUGGAGGGGGAAAACUACUGGAAACGGUAGCUAAUACUGCAUAACAUCAGAUGUGCCCAGAUGGGAUUAGCUAGUUGGUGUGGUAACGGCUCACCAAGGCGACGAUCCCUAGCUGGCCUGAGAGGAUGACCGGCCACACUGGAACUGAGACACGGCCCAGACUCCUACGGGAGGCAGCAGUAGGGAAUAUUGGACAAUGGGCGCAAGCCUGAUCGAGCAAUGCCGCGUGUAUGAAGAAGGUCUUCGGAUUGUAAAAUACUUUCAGCAGGGAAGCGUUACCCAAAGAAGAAGCCACGGCUAACUCCGUGCCAGCAGCCGCGGUAAUUC
rnacentral:rRNA from 1 species